UCGGCGCAUGCGGCCCGCUGUGUAUAAACUCCAGCCCGGCGAGAAAAAUAUCCUCUGGUCAUUGGUGAGAGCAGGCAAUGGUUUCCUAAGGAUUAAUUCCUCCUAUAAGAUACCGUCUGCAUUCCUUUGGAAGAUGCCCUCCCACAGGCCCUCUCUCAUAGAGCCACACUAAAAAUAGUGCUGAGCGCUUCCUGAUGGCAGUGCCGUGUUUCUCUGGAAAGCCCUGUUCUUCAGAAAUGCAUGUCUCACCGUCUCUUCUGAGCGACCAAGGCAGUUUUAUUUCUCCAUUUAAAAAAUGUCUUUUUGGAAAUGGAAGUAUGUCUUUGGAUUUGUAUCAUCUGGCUUUUUCUGAAGGACUCUGCUUGUCCCUUUUCCAAGAGCAAGACAAAGUGGCUGAGGCUGGAGGAGCGCUCCCAGUCCCUGUGAGAGAGCUGGAAGGUGCCUGGUCUGUAUGCCAUUGGGGAACUGAAACUACAGCCCUGGAGAGGAAACAAGAUCAUGUCUGCUGCUCCCUUCACACUCUUUACUUUGUUUGCUUUGCAUGACUGGUUUCUAGCUGAAUAAAAGAAAUCUCCUGGCCCUCUGAGAUGAGGAAAAUCAUCCAGUGAUAAAACGAAGUUCUGAGGGGUUUGAGAUGUGUCCUUCUCCUGGGAAAGAGAAAGGAUGCUCCUGUGGUACCUGACAUAACUGGGACUUGCAAAGCUCUGUCUGCUAGUUUAUAAACAUACACUCGUUAAAGCAUUUUAAUUAGGAUGUUUUGAGAACUGUGUGUUGGUCUGUGCAUGCCCUUUGUGAAAUAUUAAACACUCUUGCCCAUUCA